UGGCUACGAAUUGAUGAUGCAUGUACAUAAAGAAGAUGAUCCAUCAAGGAAUUCUCGUGGAAUUAAUUCCUUAAAUUGGCUGCGGGUGCGUCCUGCAGUCCAUCAUCAAUGUCUUGCAUAUAGUCUACUAGGCUGUAACUGGGCGAAGCAGCAAGAAACCUUCCCCGGCUGUUUCAGCUGGAUGCAGUGCGUGUCCCAAAGUAAUUGGAUGGAUUCUCGAGCCUUCUAACCCCAGCCCAGCUGCUUCCACUCUUUGCUCACCCAAGUCCUUCCUUUUAGCCUACGCUUAAAAAGUCAAGUUGCUUAAAGAAGUCUAGUUAAAAAGUUGUAAUAGUAGUGUUUAGUUUUGGAUGAUUGCCAGCCAGCCAAUUCAAUCACUUCCAGAUACACGUAGCAUGGAAUAUCAUCCAUCUUCUCUCUCUCUCUCUCUCUUAUAUAUUCAACGCCUUGCACUACCAUAUCAUGCCUUCUUUUCUGCUGCUUAAUAUUACUCCGUCAAUCAUCGAUUCAUCGUCACCGGAGCGGUGUUAUCCAGAGUUCAGUCUCACCAAACCUUCUUGUGUUAUCUCUCUCUCUCUCUCUCUCUCUCUCUCUCUUUCUUGUUUUCGCAGUACCAGUCUUACCUGUUGUUGUUAACUUGUUAUAGGAUAGAAAUUUGGGAUGUAGUCAAACAAUAGAGCGUCUCAGAGUUUUAAGGCGGGGUUUCCGAAGCCACAUCCGCAUAAUAUAGACAGAUACGAUGGAAUCAUCAUCAUACAAGGAAGGCAGAGAUGCAGCAGAGUAUAAGAGAAGAUUCCCGAGGAGAGUACUGGGGACGUGGAUAUCUUGCCUGGCUUCAUUUUCAGUAAGCAUGGUAGGCGGGCUAAUGUUGACCCAUUGGGAGCUCAGGCAUCAUCGCACCAACAGUCAACUAUGGAUGGUGCCCUUCGGCCUCAUUUUGUUGGUCACUCCCGCAAUUGUUUGGUUGUCAAUUUUCAUCUCACAUAUAUUCAGCUCCAAUGAAGGUGAAGAAGAUCAUAAAGAUGGUGGCGACCUGCACCCAGCAGUUGACACCACGGUCGUUAUAUCCUCUGAUGAUCCCGACAGAUGAUGCAUAAAAUUCAUCAAUCGGAUUUUGAUUUCGGCGGUGAGUCCCACCUUCUCUUCCCCCCAUCACCAUCCAUCCAUCUUCCCCACACCCUCUGUCCCCCAGCAAGAGAGAGAGAGAGAGAGAGAGAGUGAAUAUCAUCAGAGGAUGGGUUGGUCUUGUUCUGUGGAUUUAUUUAAUGAGAUUGUUGCUAGUUGCUACGCAAAAAAAAAAAAAAAAAAACAGCAGCCAACAGGAAAAGAAUCCUCUUAGAUACAGAUAAACUCCAACAUGCUCCAUGAAAAUAGGGGGAUUAAAAUUGCUACUGGCAUCUAUCGUUCUAACAAAUCGAGAUUACUCAGGGAGCAGCGGCAUUUUUAUUUACGAGAAGUAACUGAGUUGAAUAUUCGAAUAUUCAAUAAGAAGUUUUUGUAGCUUGUUCAAGUUCAACUGCUUCUGCUUCUGUACCGGACGCAGACUGUUGAGCAUUUUUACGACGAUUUGCCUUUCUCCACCACCCGAAGGUGGGCAGCCAGCCCGCUCUCCUUCUCCUGCACUUGCACAGACCUACCCAAUCCAAUAAAAUAAGCAACUACUAAGUACUGAUUAACGCGGGCCGGAAGGCAGGCAUCUUCCUGUGCACUGCCGUCGAAUAUUCAGUUGGUACUGUUUGUUUAUAAGAGUACUGACUGGUAGCGUCAUUUUGGCAUAGUACUAUUACAAUUAUUUACCAACUGGGGGCGUUGGUUUACAGAGUAGGAAGGAGGAGUACAUUAGGUAGUAGAAGCCUGGAACGGACGUGGCCUUCACCAGGGAGACAGUAGUACCACCCAAGUUUCAAUAUGUCAACGCAAACUUCCUUCUCUAAAACCAAGCUUCCUUCUUGGUCAGUCUACAGAAAGAUCUACUAGGAGAGUAAGAACCAAAAAGGAAAGAUAUUGUAGAGGCCGGAUGGAAUUAAAAUAUUCCAUUCCUCUGCUCCUGUUUCAUAAUCAUACAGCCUUCAAGAAAACAACACCCCAGACGCUAACACCACAUAGCGAACCCACCAACACUCACUACAACCCCCACCCCCAACACCAGAAAAAAAAAAAAAGAGAGAGAGAGAGAGAGGAAGAAUAUAAGCUCAACCUCGUACUCGUAGUGGCUUGUAUAAGACAGACAGACAGACAGACCGAUUUAAUAGGAUAACAACCUUAGCGCCAUGAAAAAGACUACAUUGUUAGUAGUGGGUCAACCAUACACCCAAAAACUCCAUAAAUGGGGGAGAGCAUGAUACCUGCAAGUAAAAAUACAUCCUGUAUUCUAGUGAUUGAACAGGUAAGAGUGGUUGCAGUUUUCCUUCAUCCUUCAUCAACGCAAGAAAUACAGCAAAGAACGCCACCAUGCCCAAUUUUUUUUAAAAAAAAAUGUGUCCUACGCAAACAUCCGCAAUAAAGCUCAAUGCAAGACACAAUAUUCACCAGCAAAUUUAAUUCUGCCCAGUCCCCCAGCGUUGAGGAUGAGUAGCAAUCCCCUUGCUAGUUGCUCCUAUUUCAUAAUGGUGUUCCCCAAAGUGGCUAUUCAUUGCACUCUACGUCUUAUCUUAAAGCAAAUAUCCAAAUAAAACCCACUAUCACAAUUCUCCAAAUGCAAGCUAUUCUAAAGUAACAGGUAUCUUUCAGCUGCCCAAAUAUGGUUUAAAAAGAACAUACAUAUUCUAAAUGAUUUGUAAUGUACGGAACAAAUGCUAUGACCAGAUAUUACAGCGCCCCCCCCCCCUCUCCCCAAAAACAAAAACAAAAAAAAAAAA